AGUAAGUUAACGUUCUGACUGUGGUUUUUAGCUGGCUGUUUAGGAAUGAAUGUGAAGGCCUGGCACUUUAAGUUAAUUGGCUCUCAUCGUGGAGCAGACAUCCUUGUGAUCGGAAAACCUCCAGAGAUGGGUCUUUGAAUUGUAUACACAUGACUUCAGUCAGGAAAAAAAACACAUUGCAGAUUGCACCUCCAAGCUUUGUUUCCAUGAAGAAAACACAGUGACAUUCGGUCAAAUCUUCCCAGUCUCUGACUGAUGAGAAUCAAUCGGGAAAAUAUGACGAGAUUGGAAGAAUGCACACUGUAAAGGGCAGUUCCUCGUUGGCACUGUAUGACCUGGUGAACAGUUGGCCUUUGAAAAUUGGUGCCUGCACCCAGAACUCCCGAAGGUCCUUGCCAGGGUGACCACUUCUGCUGUGGUUCUGUUGAAGAAAGCACAAGCAAGGCACAAUAGAGGUAUGAUGCAA